rnacentral:lncRNA from 1 species
GUGAAGUCUUGAAACCUAGCUACGGCUGAAUUGGCCACUGGGUUGGCCAAAAUAACUGUUGGCCGUUCAUUUUGAGUGGCAAUUAACUGAGCAAGAGUACUAAAUAUGACCCUAAACUCCGCAUGAGAAACAUAAUCACCCAAAAAAUCUUUGGGCUGGGGGGAUGACUGAUUUCCGCUUCUUCUUUUAGAAGGCAUGUUCUGUAAUAAAAAGGGUGAAACAAAUUAGACAGAGAG